rnacentral:rRNA from 1 species
AGCAGCUGCGGUAAUUCCAGCUCCAAUAGCGUAUAUUAAAGUUGUUGCAGUUAAAAAGCUCGUAGUUGAAUUUCGGGACCAAUAUGUCGGUCGUGCCUCGGUACGUACUGGUGUCAUUGGUUUCUCUCUUCUGAGGAUCCUUGAUGUCAUUAAUUUGGUGUCUUGGGAAAUCAGGACUGUUACCUUGAAAAAUUAGAGUGUUUAAAGCAGGCAUACGCUUGAAUACAUUAGCAUGGACUAAUGAAAUAGGACGUUCGAUUCUAUUUUGUUGGUUUCUAGGAUCGACGUAAUGAUUAAUAGGGAUAGUUGGGGGCAUUAGUAUUCAAUUGUCAGAGGUGAAAUUCUUGGAUUUAUUGAAGACUAACUACUGCGAAAGCAUUUGCCAAGGAUGUUUUCAUUAAUCAAGAACGAAAGUUAGGGGAUCGAAGACGAUCAGAUACCGUCGUAGUCUUAACCAUAAAACUAU